UGGGGAAUAUUGCACAAUGGAGGAAACUCUGAUGCAGCGACGCCGCGUGAGUGAAGAAGGUCUUCGGAUCGUAAAACUCUGUCCUUGGUGACGAAAAAAAUGACGGUAGCCAAGGAGGAAGCCCCGGCUAACUACGUGCCAGCAGCCGCGGUAAUACGUAGGGGGCGAGCGUUGUCCGGAUUUACUGGGCGUAAAGGGUGAGUAGGCGGUAAUAUGUGUCAGAUGUAAAAGGCUACGGCUUAACCAUAGUUGGCAUUUGAAACUGUAUUACUUGAGUGCAGGAGAGGUAAGUGGAAUUCCGAGUGUAGCGGUGAAAUGCGUAGAUAUUAGGAAGAACACCAGUGGCGAAGGCGACUUUCUGGACCGUAACUGACGCUGAGGAAUGAAAGCGUGGGGAGCAAACA
rnacentral:rRNA from 1 species